rnacentral:lncRNA from 1 species
UGUACAUUACACUUUUUUAAGGAUAUCCUCAGGUAUAUUUGUGUUUUCUCUGUCUUACAGCCUAUAUCAUACUGCUCUGCAUAGAACUUUUGGAAUAUCCCACCAAUAAGAAUACUCUGGAUCCUGUACAGACUUACUUGGCAAGCUUCCUGACUCAAUCAUCUUCCUCUGCAUCAAGCCAAUGGCUAAGAUGA